rnacentral:rRNA from 1 species
AGCCUAAAGUGGAGCGUUUUGCUCCGUCCUCUUGUUGCCCUCCAGCACCCGUUUGUGGGUGGUGGUCUACGUUUCCCUGAAAACGACACGUAAGGUCAUCCCUCCGGUUUGUGUGGUCGCCGCCUUCCGUUCGCUCCCAUCAGCUUGAGGUGGGCUUGCGGUUGGGGGUGUCGGGCUCGAGCUGUGGAGGUAUGUCGAGCCUUGCCUGUUGAUCUCAGGUCGGGCAGGAGCACCCGCCCAAUUUAAGCAUAUAACUAAGCGGAGGAAGAAACCCCAAUUGGGUGGUAAGUCCCAUCCAAGGCUAAAUAUGUGCGAGGGACCGAUAGCGAAGAAGUACCGCGAGGGAAGGAUGAAAAGAACUUUGAAAAGAGAGUUAAAGAGUGCUUGAAAUUGUCGAGCGAGAAGUGGAUGGAGGGGAAGUUUUGCGUUCCCGUCUGGGCAGGGGUGGACGGYGACUGUGUUGUCGCCCCCCUUGUUGGACGUGGGGUGCCUACCAUCAUGGGCUGCUGUGACUGGCAUUGCGAUGGGGAGCGAUUGAAACGCCCCACGGGUGGCCGUCACGACGGUCGAGGACCUUGAGCACGCGCCUCUUUCGGCGGGCCCGUUCGGGUUCAUGCGUGUUCGGGAUGCUGGCGAAAUUCCUCUAUCCUACCCAUCUUGAAACACGGACUGAGGAGUUCAACGCCCUUGCGAGCCGAUGGGUGAUUAGCCCACGAGGCGAAAGAAAGUUGAGUGGCGGGAACCCUUUGCGGGGUGCACCGUCCGCCAACCACGAUCUGAUGUGAGAGGUUCGAGUGUGAGCAUGCCCGUUGGGACCCGAAAGAUAGUGAACUAUACCUGAGCAAGGCGAGGCCAGAUGAAACUUUGGUGGAGGCUCGCAGCGAUACUGAUGUGCAAAUCGUUCGUCGGACUUCAGUAUAGGGGCGAAGGACUCAUUGAACUGUCAAGUAGCUGGUUCCCUCCGAAGUUUCCCUAAUGAUAGCUGGAGCUAUUGAACAGUUUUAUCAGGUAAAGCGAAUGAUUAAAGGCCUCAGGGGUGAAACACCCUCGACCUAUUCUAAAACUUUAAUAGGUAAGAUUUCGGGGUUGCUUAAGCGAACCUCGAGGAUCAAUGAAACUUCCAAGUGGGCCUUUUUUGGUAAGCAGAACUGGCGAUGCGGGACGAACCGAAAGUCGAGCUACGGUGCCAAAGUGCGAGGUAAGUUAGACACCACAAAGGGUGUUGAUUGAUACAGACAGCAGGACGGUGGUCAUGGAAGUCGAAAUCCGCUAAGGAGUGUGUAACAACUCACCUGCCGAAUCAAUCAGCCCCGGAAAUGGAUGGCGUUGAAGCGCACGACCUAUGCUCGGCCGUCGUGGGGAUUCUAACGCCUAGACGAGUAGGAGGGUGCAGGGCCUAUUGCGAAGCCUAGAGCGUGAGCUUAGGUGAAGCAGGUCCCGGUGCAGAUCUUGGUGAUAGUAGCAAAUAUUCAAAUCCGAACUUUGAAGAUUGAAGUGGAGAAGGGUUCCAUAUGAACCACGCUUGGACAUGGGUCAGUCGACCCUUAAGAGAUGUGGAAAUCUUGUAUCAAGGGCGCACUGCGCGCCUCACAUCGAAAGGGGGUCGAGUUAAUAUUCCCAAACCGGGUUGUGGAGGUGGACGGUAACGUAAGCAGCGCCGGAGAUGCCGACGAGGGUCGUGGGGAGGGUUCUCUUUCCUUCUUGACGGCUCGCCCACCCUGGAAUCGGAGCAACCGGAGAUAGGGUGCAACGCCCGACAAAGCACCGCGCGUCUUGUGGUGUCCAACACGGCCCCGACGACCCUUGAAAAUCAGGAGUUGUCCGUACCUCUCAUGCCCCGCCGUACUCAUAACCGCAUCAGGUCUCCUAGGUGAUCAGUCUCUGGUCAAAGGAAGAAUGUAGGUAAGGGAAACCGACAAUAUGAAUCCGUAACCUUGGGAAAAGAAUUGGCUCUGAGGGCUGGGCAUAGGAGUCUGUGCCUCGAUGUCGUUGGCUGUCAGUGGUCUGCCCGAGCUGCUCUCGCGGCGAGGCCAGAACCCGCGUGCCAGUGUGCGGACGGGCGUAAAAUAUCUUAUGUCCCCACGUUUCAGGUAGGGCCGUGGGACUCUCCCUAAGCAUCAAACUGCCGACUCAAAACUGGUGCGGACAAGGGUAAUCUGACUGUUUAAUUAAAACAAAGCAUUGCGAUCGUCCCAAAAGAUGUUGACGCAAUGUGAUUUCUGCCCAGUGCUCUAAAUGUCAAAGUGAAGAAAUUCAACCAAGCGCUGGUAAACGGCGGGAGUAACUAUGACUCUCUUAAGGUAGCCAAAUGCCUCCUCAUCUAAUUAGUGACGCGCAUGAAUGAAUUAACGAGAUUCCCACUGUCCCUAUCUACGAACCUGCGAAACCACAGCCAAGGGAAUGGGCUUGGAAGAAUCUGCGGGGAAAGAAAACCCUGUUGACCUUAACUCGAGUUCGACUCUGUGAAAUGACUUGAGAGGUGAAGAAUAAGUGGGAGCUUUACGGCGCAAGUGAAAUACCACUACUUUUUACGUUAUUUUACUUAUCUCGUGAGGUGGAGCCAGGGUUUUACCCCUGCUUCUCGAUCCAAGGUSCAGGCCCUCGUGGCCUGUCCGAUCCAAGCGAAAGACAUUGUCAGGUGGGGAGUUUGGYUGGGGCGGCACAUCUGUUAGAAGAUAACGCAGGUAUCCUAAGAUGAGCUCAGCGAGAACAAAAAUCUCGUGUGGAGCAGGAGGACAAAAGCUCAUUUGAUUUUGAUUUCCARUACGAAUACAAACUGUGAGAGCAUGGCCUAUCAAUCCUUUAACGUUUCAGGACUUCAAGCUAGAGGUGUCAUAAAAGUUCCCACAGGGAUAACUAGCUUGUGGCAGCCAAGCGUUCAUAGAGAUGUUGUUUUUUGAUCCUUUGAUGUAGGCUCGUCCUAUCAUUAUGAAGCAAAAUUCACCAAGUGUUGGAUUGUUCACCCACCAACAGGGAACGUGAGUUGGGUUUAGACCAUCGUGAGACACGUUACGGGUCUCCCCUACCUGCCCCUCGGUGCUCUUGCCCACCCGCCUUUUUGCUUGUUGGGAUGAGUCUUGGAGCUCGACCCUUGCAUCCGUGUGGAUGUUGAGGGCACGGGAGAGCCGUAGAACGAAAGUGUUUUAGGACUAGUUCUAGUUGAACGUGCGAAAGGACUUGCUCUCAAGGAUUAGGGUGGAAGUAGCAAAUAUGUUGAGAGCAAGUCCUACCCCUUCCGUCCUAGAAGGGGACGAAAGGACUUGCUCUCAAGGAUUACGGUGGAAGUAGCAAAUAUGUUGAGAGCAAGUCUU